rnacentral:lncRNA from 1 species
GGGACCAGCGAGGACGGGACCAGCGAGGACGGGACCAGCGAGGACGGGACCAGCGAGGACGGGACCAGCGAGGACGGGACCAGCGAGGACGUACCGGAUGGGGGGGACGAGGAGGCUCCAAGCAGCAGCACGUCACUAAGGAGAGGUAGGGAGGACAGUGAUGAGGAGGGGGCUGCUCCUAAAAGACCAUGUUGUACUGUGAGACACUGUGUCACACAGUAAACUUGGUCUUUCCCAUUGUUGAAUGGCAGCAGCCACCUCUUCAUUCACGGAUAACUGGCCUCUGUUUCUGACAGGACCAGUUUAUCCUACUGUCUUCUUUUUUCUUUCUUUCUUGAUUUCUUUCUUUUAUAAUUUUAAAUAUUCAUCCAAACCCUGAGAACUAGCCCUUGCGUCUGGCUGGGCAGUUCUUGUCCCUGGUAGCGUCUGGCGCCGGGACUUUUCUUUCUUUCUUUCUGGAUGAAUACAAGUUUGAAUGGUAAUAUUUUCCCUGAGAACUAGCCUUUGCGUCUGGCUGGGCAGUUCUUGUCCCAGGUUGCGUCUCGCACUGGGGCCCUGCGUUUACAGUUUAGCAUGGCGGUUGGAUGGACUUUUCUUUCACCCUGGAGGCUGAGUUCAGCGCCUGGCAGGGCCGUCGACCCCGCCAUGCAAGUUGCCCUAGCGUCUGGCAGGGUAACUAUCUUGUUUAUUACUGUGUUUUCCUCCACAGCGAUAGGUCAGUUCAGUCACAGUGGCACCAGUGGCACCAGGGACACAUGUCAUCUCCCACGGAAGCUCCUCAGUGGCAGAGCAGGAUGGACUGCAGUGCCACGUGUUAUGGAGCGGACACAUGGCUGUGUGCUGUUCUAGUCAUGCUCCACACCACAGGGAGCAGUGCCACUGAUACUGAUGUACUGACCAGUGUGUCUGUCAGUCCAGUGGACAAAGUUUUCUAAGGAGAAGGGGAUGAGGGCACCAGGAGAUGAGGAGAAGGAGGUGAGGAGACACGUAAAACUCUUAUUCUUUUAAGUUACACUUACUGUAUCUCGUGACACUUUAUUUGUUUUUAAUAUUUUUUUCUAUAGAUUAAGUUAAAACAAAAAGCGCACGGUAAGCAAAUAAAGAGGUUUAGUCGGGAUAAGUUUUCA